rnacentral:rRNA from 1 species
CUCUACGGCCAUACCACCCUGAACACACCCGUUCUCGUCUGAUCUCGGAAGCUAAGCAGGGUCGGGCCUGGUUAGUUCUUGGAUGGGAGAGA